UGGGGAAUUUUGGACAAUGGGGGAAACCCUGAUCCAGCCAUCCCGCGUGUGCGAUGAAGGCCUUCGGGUUGUAAAGCACUUUUGGCAGGAAAGAAACGUCAUGGGUUAAUACCCCGUGAAACUGACGGUACCUGCAGAAUAAGCACCGGCUAACUACGUGCCAGCAGCCGCGGUAAUACGUAGGGUGCAAGCGUUAAUCGGAAUUACUGGGCGUAAAGCGUGCGCAGGCGGUUCGGAAAGAAAGAUGUGAAAUCCCAGAGCUCAACCUUGGAACUGCAUUUUUAACUACCGGGCUAGAGUGUGUCAGAGGGAGGUGGAAUUCCGCGUGUAGCAGUGAAAUGCGUAGAUAUGCGGAGGAACACCGAUGGCGAAGGCAGCCUCCUGGGAUAACACUGACGCUCAUGCACGAAAGCGUGGGGAGCAAACAGG
rnacentral:rRNA from 1 species